AACGAACGCUGGCGGCAUGCCUAACACAUGCAAGUCGAACGAGACCUUCGGGUCUAGUGGCGCACGGGUGCGUAACGCGUGGGAACCUGCCCUUAGGUUCGGAAUAACUCCCCGAAAGGGGUGCUAAUACCGGAUAAUGUCUUCGGACCAAAGAUUUAUCGCCUUUGGAUGGGCCCGCGUUGGAUUCGCUAGUUGGUAGGGUAAAAGCCUACCAAGGCGACGAUCCAUAGCUGGUCUGAGAGGAUGAUCAGCCACACUGGGAAUGAGACACAGCCCAGACUCCUACGGGAGGCAGCAGUGGGGAAUAUUGGACAAUGGGCGAAAGCCUGAUCCAGCAAUGCCGCGUGAGUGAUGAAGGCCUUAGGGUUGUAAAGCUCUUUUACCCGGGAUGAUAAUGACAGUACCGGGAGAAUAAGCUCCGGCUAACUCCGUG
rnacentral:rRNA from 1 species